UUUAAAUUGAGAGUUUGAUCCUGGCUCAGGAUGAACGCUGGUGGCGUGCCUAAUACAUGCAAGUCGUACGCUAGCCGCUGAAUUGAUCCUUCGGGUGAAGUGAGGCAAUGACUAGAGUGGCGAACUGGUGAGUAACACGUAAGAAACCUGCCCUUUAGUGGGGGAUAACAUUUGGAAACAGAUGCUAAUACCGCGUAACAACAAAUCACACAUGUGAUCUGUUUGAAAGGUCCUUUUGGAUCGCUAGAGGAUGGUCUUGCGGCGUAUUAGCUUGUUGGUAGGGUAGAAGCCUACCAAGGCAAUGAUGCGUAGCCGAGUUGAGAGACUGGCCGGCCACAUUGGGACUGAGACACUGCCCAAACUCCUACGGGAKGCUGCAGUAGGGGAUUGUCCGGAAUGCAGGAAAGUGUGACGGAGCGACGCCGCGUGGGUGGUAGAGGCUGUCGGGUCGUAAAGACCGGUUGUAAGGGAAGAAUAACUGAAUUCAGAGAAAGUUUUCAGCUGGACGGUACCUUACCAGAAAGGGAUGGCUAAAUACGUGC
rnacentral:rRNA from 1 species